rnacentral:rRNA from 1 species
AUUGAACGCUGGCGGCAGGCCUAACACAUGCAAGUCGAGCGGAAACGACUUAACAGAACCUUCGGGGGACGUUAAGGGCGUCGAGCGGCGGACGGGUGAGUAAUGCCUAGGAAAUUGCCCUGAUGUGGGGGAUAACCAUUGGAAACGAUGGCUAAUACCGCAUGAUGCCUACGGGCCAAAGAGGGGGACCUUCGGGCCUCUCGCGUCAGGAUAUGCCUAGGUGGGAUUAGCUAGUUGGUGAGGUAAUGGCUCACCAAGGCGACGAUCCCUAGCUGGUCUGAGAGGAUGAUCAGCCACACUGGAACUGAGACACGGUCCAGACUCCUACGGGGCAGCAGUGGGGAAUAUUGCACAAUGGGCGCAAGCCUGAUGCAGCCAUGCCGCGUGUGUGAAGAAGGCCUUCGGGUUGUAAAGCACUUUCAGUCGUGAGGAAGGUGGUAGUGUUAAUAGCACUAUCAUUUGACG